rnacentral:rRNA from 1 species
GAUGAACGCUAGCGACAGGCUUAACACAUGCAAGUCGAGGGGCAGCGAGGGCGUAGCAAUACGCCUGUCGGCGACCGGCGCACUGGUGAGUAACACGUAUGCGACCUGCCCCCUACAGGGGGUAUAACCCGUAGAAAUGCGGACUAAUCCCCCAUAGUCCUGGGUGCUGCAUGGCAUUCAGGGGAAAGGUCAGCCGGUAGGGGAUGGGCAUGCGGCGCAUUAGCUAGUUGGCGGGGCAACGGCCCACCAAGGCGACGAUGCGUAGGGGUUCUGAGAGGAAGGUCCCCCACACUGGUACUGAGACACGGACCAGACUCCUACGGGAGGCAGCAGUGAGGAAUAUUGGUCAAUGGGCGCAGGCCUGAACCAGCCAAGUCGCGUGAGGGAUGACGGUCCUACGGAUUGUAAACCUCUUUUGUCGGGGAGUAACGUGCGGGACGCGUCCCGUAUUGAGAGUACCCGAAGAAAAAGCAUCGGCUAACUCCGUG